GACGAACGCUGGCGGCGUGCUUAACACAUGCAAGUCGAACGGUAAGGCCCCUUCGGGGGUACACGAGUGGCGAACGGGUGAGUAACACGUGGGUGAUCUGCCCUUCACUUCGGGAUAAGCCUGGGAAACUGGGUCUAAUACCGGAUAGGACCACGCUCUGCAUGGAGUGUGGUGGAAAGCUUUUGCGGUGUGGGAUGGGCCCGCGGCCUAUCAGCUUGUUGGUGGGGUGAUGGCCUACCAAGGCGACGACGGGUAGCCGGCCUGAGCGGGUGUCCGGCCACACUGGGCCUGAGAUACGGCCCAGACUCCUACGGGAGGCAGCAGUGGGGAAUAUUGCACAAUGGGCGCAAGCCUGAUGCAGCGACGCCGCGUGGGGGAUGACGGCCUUCGGGUUGUAAACCUCUUUCAGUACCGACGAAGCGCAAGUGACGGUAGGUACAGAAGAAGCACCGGCCAACUACGUG
rnacentral:rRNA from 1 species